UGCCAGCCGCCGCGGUAAUACGAAGGGUGCUAGCGUUGUUCGGAAUUACUGGGCGUAAAGAGCAUGUAGGCGGAUGAAUUAGUCUGAUGUGAAAGCCCGGGGCUCAACCCCGGAAGUGCAUUGGAAACUGGCGAACUUGAGUACGGGAGAGGAAAGUGGAGUUCCGAGUGUAGGGGUGAAAUCCGUAGAUAUUCGGAGGAACACCAGUGGCGAAGGCGGCUUUCUGGACCGAUACUGACGCUGAGACGCGAAAGCGUGGUGAGCAAACCGGAUUAGAUA
rnacentral:rRNA from 1 species